UACCGGCAGCCCGAGUGAUGGCCGAUCUUAUUGGGCCUAAAGCGUCCGUAGCUGGCCGCACAAGUCCAUCGGAAAAUCCACCCGCCCAACGGGUGGGCGUCCGGUGGAAACUGUGUGGCUUGGGACCGGAAGGCGCGACGGGUACGUCCGGGGUAGGAGUGAACUCCCGUAAUCCUGGACGGACCGCCGAUGGCGAAAGCACGUCGCGAGGACGGAUCCGACAGUGAGGGACGAAAGCCAGGGUCUCGAACCGG
rnacentral:rRNA from 1 species